GUGAGGUGUGAAAUCCCUGGGCUCAACCUAGGAACUGCAUUUCAAACUGGAUAACUUGAGUAUGUCAGAGGGUAUUGGAAUUUCCCCGUGUAGCAGUGAAAUGCGUAGAUAUGGGAAGGAACAUCAGUGGCGAAGGCGAAUACCUGGGAUAAUACUGACGCUGAGGUGCGAAAGCGUGGGGAGCAAACGGGAUUAGAUACCCUGGUAG
rnacentral:rRNA from 1 species